rnacentral:rRNA from 1 species
GACGAACGCUGGCGGCGUGCCUAACACAUGCAAGUCGAACGGGGUUGUUCCUUCGGGGACAACUUAGUGGCGAACGGGUGAGUAACGCGUGAGAAACCUGCCUUUCAGUGGGGGACAACAGUUGGAAACGACUGCUAAUACCGCAUAACACUUUAGUACCGCAUGGUACAGAAGUCAAAGCUUUAUGUGCUGAAAGAUGGUCUCGCGUCUGAUUAGCUAGAUGGCGGGGUAACGGCCCACCAUGGCGACGAUCAGUAGCCGGUCUGAGAGGAUGAACGGCCACAUUGGGACUGAGAUACGGCCCAGACUCCUACGGGAGGCAGCAGUGGGGAAUAUUGGGCAAUGGGGAACCCUGACCCAGCAACGCCGCGUGAAGGAAGAAGGCC